UACGUAGGGUGCAAGCGUUAAUCGGAAUUACUGGGCGUAAAGCGUGCGUAGGCGGUUGGCAAAGUCAGCUGUGAAAGCCCCGGGCUUAACCUGGGAAUGGCAUUUGGGACUGCAAGGCUUGAGUGCGGCAGAGGAGACUGGAAUUCCUGGUGUAGCAGUGAAAUGCGUAGAUAUCAGGAGGAACACCGAUGGCGAAGGCAGGUCUCUGGGCUGACACUGACGCUCAUGCACGAAAGCGUGGGGAGCAAACAGG
rnacentral:rRNA from 1 species